rnacentral:lncRNA from 1 species
UCGGGUCAUAUAUUAUUUACAAGAACACCAUAUUGAAAUACUGGUCCAGUAGUUUGAAAAUUUAAAAUUUCAUUUUAUUGUAUGAAUAUAUUUUUACAUACAUGUGAAAAUAAUCACAAGAACGAAAGUACAGAAGGUUCACUCCCCAAUUGUCUAUUUGCAACAUUCUAUUCAUGCAUGAACAGUGUCCUAUUACUUUUUUUAUUAUUGACAUCCAGCAAGUGAAACUGGGAGGGAGGGGAGGGAGAGAGAGAGAGAGAGAUACAGAGAGAGAGAGGGAGAGCAUGCUGCAUUGGCUCAGCCCUACACUGAUAAAAAUACACUAUGGAACCUACUUCCCGAGAUAGCAAAUAACACAAAAUUUGCAUGGUUGAUCAUGAUCCUCCCCCUCCUUUAUCAACAAAUGAAUAAAGAAUGUGAACUCUCCCCCCUCCUUUCUCAACAAAUGGACAAAGAAUGUGAAAGAGAACUGAAUCUGCAGGUCUUGUACUGUUGAUGCUCAACAAUCUAUCAACAACAUCAAAUGUGUGUGGUAUUUCCACAGUUGACUUGAAAUUGAA